AGCGAACGCUGGCGGCAGGCUUAACACAUGCAAGUCGAGCGGGCAUCCUUGUGGUGUCAGCGGCAGACGGGUGAGUAACGCGUGGGAACGUGCCCUUCGGUUCGGAAUAACUCAGGGAAACUUGAGCUAAUACCGGAUACGUGCGAGAGCAGAAAGGUUUAUCUGCCGAAGGAUCGGCCCGCGUCUGAUUAGCUAGUUGGUGAGGUUAUGGCUCACCAAGGCGACGAUCAGUAGCUGGUCUGAGAGGAUGAUCAGCCACACUGGGACUGAGACACGGCCCAGUCUCCUACGGGAGGCAGCAGUGGGGAAUAUUGGACAAUGGGGGCAACCCUGAUCCAGCCAUGCCGCGUGAGUGAUGACGGCCUUAGGGUUGUAAAGCUCUUUUCUCCGGGACGAUAAUGACGGUACCGGAGGAAUAAGCCCCGGCUAACUUCGUG
rnacentral:rRNA from 1 species